AGGUAUCAUUUGUAACCGUGGAGCGGGGAGAGAAACGCGAAUGUUAAACAACCCACCCGAGCGGCUGACUGGUCGAUUCAGGCGCUGGGCUCCUCAGGGAUGCUGAGGAGAGGGAGGUGUGCUCCGGCAAGUGAGCUGACACCAAGGCCUGUUAAUGGCCUGGCCUCGACAUCUGGUGACCUCACAGUGGCGUUCACUGUCCAGACUGAAUCCUACCUAGAUAGUGCAAGAUUUAAAAGGGUCAGGUGUGGUAGCCCUUGCCUGUAAUCUCAGCGCUGAAGAGGCUGAGGUGUGAGGAUGGGGAGUUGGAGGCCGGGCUGGGCUACACAGAGGAGAGCCGGUCUCAAAAAACAAACAAACAAACAAACAAACAAAAACCAAGCAAACCUGAAAAGAAGAAAGGAGUCUUCCUCAGUCAGUGCCCUGAAGCUCAGGGACACCUCCCUCCUGAGAACACGGCUUUGAAAAGUGCUAGUGAUCAGAAGGACUAAUGUUGGACGAUGCUGUGUUGGCUCAACCUUGUCACAGGCAUUUCCAAUUUGGAGACAUAAAGAACUGAGAACUUGGGGAUCCACUGAGGUCUGAGGCAUGGUGGUACCGGAAGAAAUUAAGGGACCUUCAGAAUGAAACUGGUCCCCCGUUGACAGUACUCUGACUUCUCCAUCAGGCUCUAUCAACAUGUCUACGGUGAGGUUGGUGACACUGUCUGCAGUAUUUAUAACAUGACUGAGGAAGAAGGAAGGAGGAGAACAGAAGGUGGUAAAGGUGAAGCCUCAGCUGUGGCCACAUAGCUCAGGUUCCUACAUCUUGAUCCUGAAUUUUCAAGGGUGACUAUGGCUUUUUAGCAUCUGACGACUCAUGUGACUUUGUUUCAAGUCUCAACUGCAGCCAGCCAAAGGUCAGUUCAAAAUUAGAGUGGACAAAGAGGUGGUCUUUAUGUUGUCUAUCUAUGUCUACACCAAAUCCUACUUACCUGUAAGACCAGCGUCUGCAAAAGACUCCACAGUAGCUCCCACCCCAUAAACAGCGCUGCUUUCAUCUGUCGCCUAUGACAUACCAAUGAAGAAAUCACGGCGGCAUCGUGUCUCAAACUGCUAUGCAAAUGAUGCCAUUUGUAAGUAUUAACAUAAUUUAGUGCUUACAGUCAUAUUCUCAUUUCUAAUAAUUCUCCCAGAAUGGAGUCUUUCUCUGGACUCUUAGCCUGCAGGAUAGUCUUUCAUCAAGAAGCUGAAAUUUUUAAUAACCUGCCAGCAUAUGUUUUGUAUGUGCCAGGCUAGGCUUGAUGAUACAACAUCUUCAUUAUCAAAAGGAGCAGGUCUACAGACUGUAAUAGGACAUUAAAACACGCCUGUGCUCAUAAAGUAAUGCUUUGAUGUCUAAAUGUGCACCGUUACAAUGCUCUUCUGGAACAAAGGGGGCUUCCAAUCCUAAAUUCUCAAUAGCUACCCGCAGCUCCCCUCCACUCUAAGGAGGUUCCCUUUGAAGGCAUAAGCUGUCGUUAGUCCCUGCAAGAGGGAAGGGAGCUCACAGGGACUUCAUUUUAUUUUUAGCUUUGGCUUCUCACGCAUCAUAGCUAAGCAUGAGCCAUGCAUCAUAACAGGAUUUCUGAAUAAUUAUUUUUCCCUGUUAAGUUUUUUUUAAAUGAUUUAAAUAGAACAUUAAUUAUUUAAGAGUCUCAAAUUUAAUAACAUUAACAACAGUGCCAAAUGUAUUUGGUAACAAUUUAAAAUGGCAUAGUUUAAAAUAAUUGAAAUUAAAUAAUCUAUAGUGAGGUUUCUAACCACAAUUCAGCCAAAUGUCAGUACUGCAAAUAUUUUUAAAACUCAAAGUCAAACAUUUCAAAUUUAUCAUAGUCUAAUGUCAAGGGAAUUCUUUAAAAAUUAUUGGUUUGAAAUGCUGAGGCCAGCAAACACUGUAUACACUAGUAUUUUAAUUCUUUAAAAUAAAAGUGUCUAGACUUUUUCAUGGUUUAAACUCAACAGCUUUGCUUCACAAAGAUAAAAUCCAGUUCAAAGAGAACAUAAGAGAAACCUCUAUUGGCCUCAAAAUUAAAUACAUUUUCUUUGCUUUAUUUUUUUUCUAGAAGAGUAAUUCAUUUUGGUAUCCUUUAAAUAAUAUGUAAAGAGCUAGCCAUGACAGGUACUGCAUUUAGUCCGUUCACUGUUGGAGGGGGAAGAAAGCCCAGAAUAGAUCAUGGGGAGAACCGACCCAUUUGUUAAAAGGAACUCUCCUCCUGACUGUUCUCUAGAUUUAUUCAUCAUUUCACUUGCCCAGGAAUAAUGUGGUUCCCACCAGUGUUCCCCUUCCUUUCUAUCACUUGUGUCUUGAUUCAUAGACUUCUGUAGUGGGAUGCGCAAAGCAGAUGCAAAUCACUGCAAGGCCCACCGCUAUGCAUGCUGGGAGGAAAGGGAUCAUAUAAGGAGUUUGCCUGUCAAUUUUCUUUUUUGUAGUAGGGCAGGAAAAACAAGGUAGUGUGAUAAACAGAAGCUGGGUGUAAGGAUACAAAGUGGGACAGUGUGUCGAGGUCAGGUUAAACAUUAAACCAUGUACAGAUAUUAAGCAAAAUUGGAGCAGACUGAGGUUGUAUAAUUCAUUUCACCAACCUAUGUGGAAAGGUUUACACACCUCCACUCAUAGCCUGAGACCCUGAGCCUACUACUCAGCUUUUUCUGAAAGUUCUCUUCUGGGGUCUUUUCUUCUCUCAGCAUCUCAUAGGGACUAGUAGUUACAUAGGUUUCUUUAGAGUGUCUUCGAAAACAUGGCUCCUGACAGAAUGCUAUUUUACAUUAGCUUACAAUGACCACCAUUUGCUAGUAGAAUUCCUCAUAAUAAAACACAGCUAGCUUAAUCACCACGGUUGGCAGAAGCACAGAAACUGCUCAGGGCAGAUGCUAAGAUUUGUAAUGCUACCUGACUAUGGUCUUUUAGUCAUUUCUUAGGUAUCAUAUCAGUUUGACGUUGUGAAAAAAGAUGUUUUGGCCCCCCAAAUGGACAUUUAAGUAACGCAAUAAGUCCAUUCAUAUUGUUCGUUAGGACUAAGGCCCAGGAAAGGCUCUGCUGAUAGAUGACAGGGCUAAGUCUGGGAGAAAGGAUCUUAUCUCCUGAC